rnacentral:rRNA from 1 species
AUUAGACUUGGGCGAAGCCUGACCGCAAUGCCGCGUGAGUGAAGAAGGCCUUCGGGUUGUAAAGCUCUUUUGUCAGGGAAGAAACGGUGGGCUCUAAUACAGAUCACUAAUGACGGUACCUGAAGAAUAAGCACCGGCUAACUACGUGCCAGCAGCCGCGGUAAUACGUAGGGUGCAAGCGUUAAUCGGAAUUACUGGGCGUAAAGCGUGCGCAGGCGGUUUGGUAAGACAGAUGUGAAAUCCCUGGGCUCAACCUAGGAAUUGCAUUUGUGACUGCCCGACUAGAGUGUGUCAGAGGGGGGUAGAAUUCCACGUGUAGCAGUGAAGUGCGUAGAGAUGUGGAGGAAUACCGAUGGCGAAGGCAGCCCCCUGGGAUAACACUGACGCUCAUGCACGAAAG